GAUGAACGCUGGCGGCGUGCCUAAUACAUGCAAGUCGAGCGAACGGACGAGAAGCUUGCUUCUCUGAUGUUAGCGGCGGACGGGUGAGUAACACGUGGAUAACCUACCUAUAAGACUGGGAUAACUUCGGGAAGCCGGAGCUAAUACCGGAUAAUAUUUUGAACCGCAUGGUUCAAAAGUGAAAGACGGUCUUGCUGUCACUUAUAGAUGGAUCCGCGCUGCAUUAGCUAGUUGGUAAGGUAACGGCUUACCAAGGCAACGAUGCAUAGCCGACCUGAGAGGGUGAUCGGCCACACUGGAACUGAGACACGGUCCAGACUCCUACGGGAGGCAGCAGUAGGGAAUCUUCCGCAAUGGGCGAAAGCCUGACGGAGCAACGCCGCGUGAGUGAUGAAGGUCUUCGGAUCGUAAAACUCUGUUAUUAGGGAAGAACAUAUGUGUAAGUAACUGUGCACAUCUUGACGGUACCUAAUCAGAAAGCCACGGCUAACUACGUGC
rnacentral:rRNA from 1 species